rnacentral:rRNA from 1 species
AAAACUCGCGGGGCGCGAGGAGGGGGCUGCGGCCCAUCAGGUAGUUGGUGGGGUAACGGCUCACCAAGCCGACGACGGGUAGGGGGCCUGAGAGGGUGGUCCCCCACACUGGGACUGACAGACGGCCCAGACUCCUACGGGAGGCAGCAGUAAGGGAUAUUGCGCAAUGGGCGAAAGCCUGACGCAGCAACGCCGCGUGGAGGAUGACGGCCUUCGGGUUGUAAACUCCUUUGGACAGAGACGAGGAAGGACGGUAUCUGUCAAACAAGUCACGGCUAACUACGUGCCAGCAGCCGCGGUAAAACGUAGGUGGCAAGCGUUAUCCGGAUUUACUGGGCGUAAAGCGUGUGCAGGCGGGGGACCAAGUGGUGUAUGAAACCGCCCGGCUCAACCGGGCGCGGGUAGGCCAGACUGGUCUUCUGGAGGAGGCGAGAGGGACGUGGAAUUCCGGGUGUAGUGGUGAAAUGCGUAGAGAUCCGGAGGAACCCCCGAGGCGAAGGCGGCGUCCUGGCGCCCUCCUGACGCUCAGACACGACAGCAUGGGGAGCGAACGGGAUUAGAAACCCCGGUAGUCCAUGCCGUAAACGAUGGCGACUAGGCGCUGGCGGUCUCAACCCCGCCGGUGCCGCAGCCAACGCGUUAAGUCGCCCGCCUGGGGAGUACGGUCGCAAGGCUAAAACUCAAAGGAAUUGACGGGGGCCCGCACAAGCAGCGGAGCGUGUGGUUUAAUUCGAGGCUACACGAAGAACCUUACCAGGGUUUGACAUGCUGGUGGUAGGAAUGUGAAAGCUGACCGACCC